rnacentral:rRNA from 1 species
GACGAACGCUGGCGGCGUGCUUAACACAUGCAAGUCGAACGGUAAGGCCCCAGCUUGCUGGGGUACACGAGUGGCGAACGGGUGAGUAACACGUGGGUGACCUGCCCCGCACUUCGGGAUAAGCCUGGGAAACUGGGUCUAAUACCGGAUAGGACCGCACCGUGAGGGUGUGGUGGAAAGUUUUUCGGUGUGGGAUGGGCCCGCGGCCUAUCAGCUUGUUGGUGGGGUAAUGGCCUACCAAGGCGGCGGCGGGUAGCCGGCCUGAGAGGGUGGACGGCCACAUUGGGACUGAGACACGGCCCAGACUCCUACGGGAGGCAGCAGUGGGGAAUAUUGCACAAUGGGCGGAAGCCUGAUGCAGCGACGCCGCGUGGGGGAUGACGGCCUUCGGGUUGUAAACUCCUUUCACCAUCGACGAAGGUUUUCUGACGGUAGAUGGAGAAGAAGCACCGGCUAACUACGUG